UAUGCAGUGCACGAAAACGGGUGCAAUGACAACAAGUGAAAGUAAAAUAUUUAAGACAGAUAAUCCAUUGACAACCAAACAGCCGGGGGAAGCAAACAAGAAAGGUAAGUCCUUCAGUAGCUAAUUGAAUACAGUACCCACAAUAAUUGCACAGUGCACUUUCAACUGUUGAAGCCGAGGUUUGAGUUUUAAUUUGGAAACUGUAUCAACACAGAUCAAGUCAUCCAUAUUGUGAGUUCAGGUGCAAUUUCUGUUUUCUCCUUUGUGGUCCAUCUGAAUAGCAUGCUGUAGUUAAGAUACCUACCAUCAGGUUGCAUUAUAUAGGAAGUUUUAUUUAUUAUUCUGGAUUCACACUUGAGCAUGGGUACCUCCAAGACAGCCCAGGCCUAUAGCCUGCAAAAUGCAAUUUCCUGUAACAGAAAUUUUUAUUUGUAGAUUUCUGUCAGAACCAGCAACAGCCUAAAUGCCUGUGUUCAUGACCACCUGAUCAGGAUAGCAAUACAUUUUACUCUAUCCCACAUGGCAGUCAUAUUAAAUAAAAUACUGAACAACGUGUAUUUAUAAAGAUAGUAAACAUGAUAAAUCGCCCGAACUGCGGAAAGCUGUCGUGCGAAGUUAGUGGCGAUAUCCUUUAACGUGUUCUACACAGUUUGUGACGGGGUGGAAAUCCCAUUUCAACAUGGGUGAAAACUACAAACCGCCUGCUUGCCAACACUCGAAGAACAUCUCAACUAUAAUGUAGUGCAGCUUUUAUUAUUCUUAGCAGUUUUCAUAAGCAAUGCCAUAUGAUAAACACGGUUGACUGUAUUAGCUUGGAUAGUUACAAUGCUGAUAUUAAUAUGAACGUGAUGCAUUAUAGUAAACCAAGUGGUGAGCUGCCGCAAUGUUGUUUUCCAAAUGAAAGAGUGGGCCUUUAACUGCCAUCCCAAUUCUAUUCUCUCUACACCGUAUGAGCAUACUGGCUCUAAAAGGAGUCUCUGGGGAGAAAGCGGAGGUGGGCAGUGCCUACAAAGAAAUGUCACUCUGAUGGAAUUGACAUUUACAAUGAAGCUGGAAGCCAAAUCCAGCAGGAGAGACCAGUCUCACCUGUACCCAGCUGUCUGUCCAUGCAAACAGACAUGUCUAUUGAUCCUCCGUUCAACUUCAUGACAGAAAAUAUAUCUACUGAUCAAAAGCCUUUCUGCAGCAGAGACCAGUUCUGUCCACGAACAGUGACCAGUCAAUGGGACAUCAAGAACACUUCAGGGAUGGGAACACUGGGCAUGCGGCUAAGUUUUCUGCUGACAGGAUCCAAGAGGAGAGAGCCAAUUCUCCUGGACCAAGCUUUGAGUCCUUUAAGAGUGACUGGUCAAUGGUUCAUCCUAAAACACAAUUCGGGUAGGAAGGCAUUUCUACUGAUCAAAGAGACCUGCAAGAGAGAUCGGAGUCAGACAUUCCCCGUGGCCGGUCCACGGCAGACAUGUCCUCCAUAUUCAAGUUAGUUGAAGACCAAGUCAUCACAUUUGUAAAGAGUUAAUUGAAGAAGUUCAAGAAGAUUCGAGUCCAGAUCACCCAGAAUGCUCUAACAGUCAGGGGAAGGGUGGUGGUGUAUGGUGAAGAUGAGAACCAGGAGAGCAGUGCCAGAGAGGGGGCUCUGAAGAUCACACUGCACAUCCUGAGGAACAUGAACCAGAAAGCGCUCACUGACACACUGGAGAACAAUCUUUUAGGUGAGCUUGCUGUGUGUCAACCUAAACUCAACUUUAACAAAAGGAAGUUUGAAUGCGUGUUUGAAGGAAUGGCUACACAAGGAAACCCAACACUUCUCAAUCAGAUCUACACCGAGCUCUACAUUCACAGAGGGUGGAAGUGGAGAGGGCAAUAAUGAACAUGAGUUUAGACCCUCCAGUCCAGCAGAGCAGCUUCACUCCUGAAUUCUGUGUGAACCAUGAUGCAGAACGCUGGAUAAAAUCUGGCCUAAGAAAAUGUGACUUAAUUUCUCUUGAAAGCUACAAACACAAAUGAUUCAAUGCCUGUGAGCCAACACUGGACGCAAACACGGCACACAGAAAACUCUGUCAGAGGGGAACAUGGGGGAGAGAAGAGCAGCCGUAUCCUGAUCACCCAGAGAGAUGUGAGGGCUGUUGGCAGGUGCUGUGUAAAGAGGGUCUGAAUAGGCGCAGUUAUUGGGAGUCGGAUCGAAGAGGAAAUGGGAGUGACAGAGAAACAUCGGCAGAAGUGGAGUUUGACUGUUGGCUUCGACGUAAUGACAAUUCCUGGAGUUUGCGAUGCUCUGACAACAGUUGCGUCGCCUUCCAUAAUGCUAGGAGUAUUGCUUUACCUGCUCCCUCGUCUUAUUCGAACAGAGGAGUGUAUCUGGACUGGCUGGCACUCUGUCCUUCUACAGUGUCUCCUCUGGUACACUGACCCAUCUGCAUACAUUCUACUCCACAUUUUCUAACCCUCUUUACCCAGGGUUUAGGGUUGGGAAUGAUGAGUGUGCCCGUGUCAGGUAGAGCAGCCUCCAAUUUGAAACUCAGGCCAGAAUUCCAUCUAGUUGAUUUUGGCAUUGCGGUGUUAGAAGUACGUUCACGUUGCAGUGCAACGUGUUCGCUCCAGACUUGAUACUCGAUUUAGAAAUCAGUAAUCCCAUACUACCUGGUUUUAGUGGAAGCCCUGGUAGGAUGUUGAGUUACCCACCCUCCCUUCUAUUUUUAUCUUGAUAAUUCAUUGCAGUCACGCAGAUUUUAAAUCUGUGACACACUGCUGUGCAAAUCAAACACAAUUUCAGUGACCUUAAAUAAAAUGGCAUUUAUUUAUUUUUCUACUCUGCUUUACCUACAGCAAACAACAUUUUUGGUUUUGUUGAAUUUAGCAUCCUGAGUGAGAGAAUUUGUAUGUUUUAUCUGGAAUAAAAAUCUAAGAUGUGCCCAGAUCACAGCCUUAAACACCACUUGUAAUUUAGGAAAUAUGUGUUGAACAUUAAUGUAGGCUAAUUGAGUUAUAAAUCACAUACUAUAGCCAGAUCUCCAGGCCAUUGAACUUCUGUUACCUGGUCUCAGAGCCACAAACCAUUUUAUGUAGUGAAAGUGUCUGGAUGAAAAAUGCUGUUGAGGAGAAUGUGACCAUUUUGGCUGAGAGACCACUGAAAAUGUUAUCCCGCUAGAUAGUGAUGCGAUAAAUACAUGUAAGUAACUACUACCGUCCCAAGAGGAGUGGCGGUUCUGACAUCAGCAGCACUAGCUAUUAUGCAUCCUCAUCGGAUAAAGAGUACUUCCCCCAAAUUUGGGUAGGAAAAUGUACUUUACUUGCCUAUAUACUAUACAGAGCGACAAAAAAACAAAACAAAAAAAACAGUAUGGCAUUGCCCCAGAUAUUCUGUAUUUCACACUCAAUAUUCCUACAGUAAAAUCAUAAUCAAUACUCAGUCUGCCUGUACUUUAAUAUAUUCUUUAUUUUCUUAAACAAAAUUGAAGUAAAAACCUUUAUGUAGAAAGACAAAUUCCCUGUCAGUAGCGUUCCACCUAAGGUUCUUGAUUUAGGGCCUCCAGUAGACUCCCGUCUAUUGGGUUGUUCUCUUCUACUGUGUGAGUCAACGUAAGAAUAUUACACCACAGAGUCAGUACCAUCUCUAACUCCUACUAGCUCAUGAAUUAACUCACUAACUUGUGAAUUAACUCAUGCAGACUUUCGAGAAACACAGUGGGAAGAAUGUUAACAGCAAAUAGUGU